rnacentral:rRNA from 1 species
GGUUUAGGAAGAACUACAGGAUUCCCCUAGUAACUGCGAGUGAAGCGGGAAGAGCUCAAAUUUGAAAUCUGGCAGCUCUGCUGUCCGAGUUGUAAUCUGUAGAAGUGUUUUCUGCAUUGAACCGUGUAUAAGUCUCUUGGAACAGAGCGUCAUAGAGGGUGAGAAUCCCGUCCAUGACACGGACUACCAAUGCUUUGUGAUACACUCUCAAAGAGUCGAGUUGUUUGGGAAUGCAGCUCAAAAUGGGUGGUAGACUCCAUCUAAGGCUAAAUACAAGCGAGAGACCGAUAGUGAACAAGUACCGUGAGGGAAAGAUGAAAAGCACUUUGGAAAGAGAGUUAAACAGUAUGUGAAAUUGUUGAAAGGGAAACACUUGAAGUCAGUCACAUCCUGUAGGACUCAGCCUUGCCCUUAGGGACUUGGUGUAUUUCUUGCAGGAUGGGUCAACAUCAAUUUUGGUCAUUGGAUAAGGGAGAAGGGAAUGUAGCACCUUUGCGGGUGUGUUAUAGCCCUCCUUCAUAUACAUUGGCUGGGAUUGAGGACUGCAGCAUGCCCCUCUGGGGCCAGGCAACAUAUCAUGUUCACAUGCUUAGGAUGUUGACAAAAUGGCUUUAAGUGACCCGUCUUGAAACACGGACCAAGGAGUCUAACAUGCCUGCGAGUAUUUGGGUGGAAAACCCUUAUGCAUAAUGAAAGUGAAAAUUGGGAGCCCUUUAUAAUGGGGGGUGCACUGAUGCCCGGCCCAGAUGUUUACUGACGGUGCUGCGGUAGAGCAUGUAUGUUGGGACCCGAAAGAUGGUGAACUAUGCCUGAAUAGGGUGAAGCCAGAGGAAACUCUGGUGGAAGCUCGUAGCGAUUCUGACGUGCAAAUCGAUCGUCAAAUUUGGGUAUAGGGGCGAAAGACUAAUCGAACCAUCUAGUAGCUGGUUCCUGCCGAAGUUUCCCUCAGGAUAGCAGAAACUCAUAUCAGAUUUAUGUGGUAAAGCGAAUGAUUAGAGGCCUUGGGGUUGAAACAACCUUAACCUAUUCUCAAACUUUAAAUAUGUAAGAACGAGCCGUCACUUUGUUGGACCGCUCGAUGAUUGAGAGUUUCUAGUGGGCCAUUUUUGGUAAGCAGAACUGGCGAUGCGGGAUGAACCGAACGCAAGGUUAAGGUGCCAGAAUGCACGCUCAUCAGACACCACAAAAGGUGUUAGUUCAUCUAGACAGCAGGACGGUGGCCAUGGAAGUUGGAACCCGCUAAGGAGUGUGUAACAACUCACCUGCCGAAUGAACUAGCCCUGAAAAUGGAUGGCGCUCAAGCGUGCUACCCAUACCUUGCCAUCCACAUUGAAGUGAUGUGUGGAUGAGUAGGCAGGCGUGGAGGUUUGUGAAGAAGCCUGGCAGGAUGCUGC